AUGUGGUUAGUGGUCCAUGGCAAGUGUCUGACGGCGGAUAAUCUUGCACGCAGAGGUUGGCCCAGGAAUCCUUCUUGCCCUCUUUGUCUGUCACAACCUAAGGAUUGCACACACUUGUUUGUGCAUUGCCGAUACACGCAGCAGCUUUGGGGCUUGCUGAAAUCCUGGACUGGGGUGCAGUUCAUUAUGCCGGACGAUCGACACGGCUGCACGGAGGAGUGGUGGCUUGAGGCCAGAGCGGGCGUACCUAAACCAAUGCGCCGCAAUUUUGACACCAUUACGAUCUUGAUGCACUUGAGACUGUGGAAGGAGAGGAACUCCAGAGUGUUUGAUCACCUGGCAAGCAGUGCAGAAAGAGUACUGGACGUAGUCCGUGAAGACAUAGCAGUGUGGCGAUCUGCGGGUUGCAUUACAGACUUGGGUCAUUAG
rnacentral:rRNA from 1 species